CCUUUGCCCCCGAAAUGAAGGAGAAAAAGAAAUGCAAAAAACGCAACACAAAUAAACAAACCACUCCCGACAUUUCUGCCAUUAAAAAGCACACAAGCAUAAAUUUCAAAAGAAUAUUGUUCAUUUUCCAUUUCUGCAAUAUAAAUUAAGUUUAAAAAACAAAGAAACAAGUAUUUAUAAGUGCCUUUCGAUUAUGGCACAUAAUGAAAUGAUGUCACGUUAGAACUUAGAAGUUACAAUAAACUUUGGUUUAUUAAUAAAAACAACAUUGUUUUAAAAAUUUAUGCCUAGCCCUGCCUAGGUUCUGCGUAUGCACUAGACGGCUGGUCAUUGUCCCGAUUAAUCUCUAGGUGUUUGAAAAUUACUUGGCUGGAUUUGGGCAUUUGUUGGACGGAGGUUUUGCAGCGACGCAUCAACAGCAGUUGUAAGGAAGUUAGGCUUUUUUGUUUCUAGGCUUAAACUUGUGGCUUAGGCUUUGUUUUGGGGUCCAUAUUUUCUUUUGGUCUUUUUUGUAUUUGGACCUCAACAACUGUAAAUGUUGUAAAUUUGUGUGGUUGGUAAUGUAUCUUAUCUGGUGCCCUCUUUGUAGGGUAACCUGUGACAAAAAAAAAAACAAUAAGGAAGUGGAGAUUUUGAGCAUUUGCCUCUUUCAACAAAAACUUUCAAGUUUGAUUCCAUCAAUUUGGUUGUAUUUGGUUUUUACUUUUUUUUACAUGCAGGAGUUGAAAAUAAGUUGGAAACAACUGAAGCUUGUGUUUAGCUCGUCAAAACUCGGCCUGUGAAAAAACAAGCAAAAUCUAUGUCCGGCUAUGAAAAUCUAAAAUCUUCUAAGCUUCCUACUCCGAUCAUCCAAAUCAAUGGUGCAAACUUGAUUUGGUAAUCGUUGGUCAUGCUUCAUUCACUUGAAAAUAUAUAUCCAUAUAUGAUAUGAAAUGAUAUCUACCUCCCAUUUACUGUAAUGUUUUCACAUUCAAAAAUUGACAUAUCGUUUGAUGUGAUUCAUAAAUGAGAAUCUUGAGUUAUUAAUUUUGGUGUCAAUGUCCAUCCGCUCUUUCGAAAUAGCUGCAACAAUAGGAUACCAUUACUACAAGAAUAUUUUUGUUCACUACUUUAAAGUGAUAGUGAUGUUGACCAUCUUAUUUAUUGCUUUCGAAUAAUUUAAAUUUUGAGAUCUGUGUAGUUGAGAGUUACAUAUAUCAAAAUUUAUACUCAUAAAUAUAAAAAUUUAUACUCAUCCAAUAAUAACAAGUAGUCAACAUUACUAUCAAUUAAAGACGAUGAGCAGAAAUACACUCCCAGUACUGCGAUGCAGAAAUUACCAAUACUCUUUCUGCACCGUUGAUUCAUUUUUCAUAUGAGACUGUAGGCAUUCGAGAAACUUGGACUAAUGCGGUAGGUUGGUAAAGCACAAAAAAAUGCUUAUUGCUUAAUUAAACAGAUUAAUCUUUGCUAUCAAUCACUUUAUCCUCUUCGAAUUCUAUUAUUCAACAAGUUAAAUUUAAUCUAAGAAUUAUUAUAUUCGAAAAAUUACUAAAUAAUGUCUUAGUACAUGCGUAUAGGUAUAUGCGUGUUUAUAUAUGUACAUGCAUAAUAUUGUUGUAAGAAUUAUUACAACAAAAUACUACCCUAUGAGGUAUGAGGAGGAGGAGGAUAUCCUAUUGGGAGGCUGAAUUAGGCGAAUAAUAUGGGUCAGUUACUAGUUAAGUAUCGAACUAAACACAAAAAAAUAAUACAUCAUCGUUAUCUAUGUGAGUCGAAUCGAAUUUUAGAAAUCUCACUUAUUGAUAUAGAUAAAUACUACUAAACCGUAAUACUAAUUUUUCUUAAAAUGUGUGCAAUCUUGAAUUUUGUAAUCAUCGAUAACUAACCGAUAAUGUUCAGUAAAAAGACAGAGUAUUGUUGCUCAUCAUCCUAAAUUUUGGUGUAUGAUCACCAUAAACCUAAUCAUGUAAUGCGGUCGAUUCUAACAAUUUAUACAUGCAAUUAUAAAAUUACGUGAAAAAAUAUGUAAGACGAGAAAUAUUGUUUUUGGUGGUAACGCAUAAGUGUUUCUUCAGCUGUACGGAUGUCGAAAGAGAGCCAUAGAUCUUGACUUCAAUUAUUAAUAUCACCUUUAAUCUCAUCAUCGGUUGAAAUCAAUCACCUAACUUUUACCUUUGCGCCCGAAAUGAAGGAGAAAAAGAAAUGCAAAAACGCAACACAAAUAAACAAACCACUGCCGACAUUUCUGCCAUCAAAAAGCACACAAGCAUAAAUUUCAAAAGAAUAUUGUUCAUUUUCCAUUUCUGCAAUAUAAAUUAAGAUUAAAAAAACAAAUAAACACGUAUUUAUAAGUGCCUUUCGAUUAUGGCACAUAAUGGAAUGAUGUCACGUUAGAACUUAGAAGUUAUAAUAAACUUUGGUUUAUUAAUAAAAAUAGCAUUGUUUAAAAAAUUUAUGCCUAACCCUACCUAGGUUCUGCGUAUGCACUAGAUGGCUGGUCAUCGU
rnacentral:lncRNA from 1 species